rnacentral:tRNA from 1 species
CGGGGCGUAGCGCAGCGGAUAGCGCGCUUGGUUCGGGACCAAGAGGCCGGUGGUUCAAAUCCACUCGCCCCGA